rnacentral:tRNA from 1 species
AGUCCCGUAGGGUAGUGGCAAUCCUCCUGGUCUUUGGAACCGGGGACAGCGGUUCGACUCCGCUCGGGACUACUA